UGGUAGAGGGCAUGGUCAGAGGGGAAUGCUCUCCACAGCGGCUGUUUGUGGCAGUGUGUGUGGUGCAGGGGUAGCUCAGGCUGCAGCCAUGACAUGGCGGCCAGGAGAAGGACUUUUCCCUCACAGGCCCUGAGGGGAAGCUGCCUGCUUGUGAGGGGCUUAAGCAUAGCAGCGACAGACAGGAACCCCCCCGGGCUGCCCGGUCCAGGCCACAAGGGCUGGGGACAUCCUUCCGUGCCUCAGACCACUUUCUGAUGCAGCAUUCCCAGGACCAGCGCUGUCAGACACAGCGUUUCCCUGCUCCUGGGGUGUCCUGGUUAUCCUGAGCACAGGACCCGUUGCCCUGUGUGCAGCAGACACAAGCUAAAGAUGUCUACACCAUCCUUGCAGACAGCUUGCGUGGUGAAACAGCCCCCAUGUAGUCCUGCUUCCUUGGGAGCAAGGGUGCUGUGUGCUGAGAAGGGGACAAGAGGAGGCUGGAAUUCCCAAGGAGACAAAUCACCAGCCACAUGCAGUCAGGUUGGGUUAUCGCCUCCUUCAAAUGCCGCACAUCCUCCCUGCUCCUGUUGCUGACGGUGCCGCCCUGGCUGUGUCCCCAGGGGGUGCGGGAAAGUCAGCAGCCGGCUCAGC